rnacentral:rRNA from 1 species
UACAGAGGGGGCAAGCGUUGUUCGGAAUUACUGGGCGUAAAGGGCGCGUAGGCGGCUUGUUAAGUCGAACGUGAAAUCCCCGGGCUCAACCCGGGAACUGCGUCCGAUACUGGCAGGCUUGAAUCCGGGAGAGGGAUGCGGAAUUCCAGGUGUAGCGGUGAAAUGCGUAGAUAUCUGGAGGAACACCGGUGGCGAAGGCGGCAUCCUGGACCAAUACUGACACUGAGGAGCGAAAGCCAGGGGAGCAAACGGG